UACGAGGGGGGGCGAGCGUUGUUCGGAAUUAUUGGGCGUAAAGGGUGCGUAGGCGGCCUGACAAGUCUGAUGUGAAAUCCCUGGGCUCAACCCAGGGCCUGCAUCGGAAACUGUCGGGCUUGAGUAUGGGAGAGGUGAGUGGAAUUUCCGGUGUAGCGGUGAAAUGCGUAGAUAUCGGAAGGAACACCUGUGGCGAAAGCGGCUCACUGGACCAUUACUGACGCUGAGGCACGAAAGCUAGGGGAGCAAACAGG
rnacentral:rRNA from 1 species